UGCUUCUGGGUCGGGGUUUCGUACGUA
rnacentral:piRNA from 7 species